rnacentral:rRNA from 1 species
AGCGAACGUUAGCGGCGGGCCUAACACAUGCAAGUCGAACGCGAAAGGUCUUCGGACUGAGUAGAGUGGCGCACGGGUGAGUAACACGUAGGUAUUCUACCCUUUGGCGGGGGAUAACGUUCCGAAAGGAGCGCUAAUACCGCAUAAGACCACGGAGUCUCCGGACGCUGUGGGAAAAGGUGGCCUCUUCUUGAAAGCUACCACCGAAGGAUGAGCCUGCGUCCCAUCAGCUAGUUGGUAAGGUAAUGGCUUACCAAGGCGAAGACGGGUAGCUGGUUUGAGAGAAUGAUCAGCCACACUGGCACUGGAACACGGGCCAGACUCCUACGGGAGGCAGCAGUGAGGAAUAUUGGGCAAUGGGCGAAAGCCUGACCCAGCCACGCCGCGUGAGUGAUGAAGGCCCUCGGGUCGUAAAGCUCUGUGGAGAGGGACGAAAACCCUGGUUUCAAAUAGGCUCCAGGCUUGACGGUACCUCUUUAGCAAGCACCGGCUAACUCUGUGCCAGCAG